rnacentral:lncRNA from 1 species
CAAAAUUUGUAAAAAAACGGUUCAGUUUACAUAUCUUUGUGAAAAAGUAAGUAAUAUAUUAAGUAAGUCUACUCAAUGUUUCAGUUUGUUUAGAAACGUUAAAUGAUUUACAUGCAUCGCAACCGCCAAACUUGACACUCCAGAAAACUAUACAUUCUCAAAACUCACAACGCGUAAAUGAACUUGACAAUUUAUCAGAUAUGUUACCAUCUGAUACAGAGUCACAUCAAUAUGCAGCAUCCUCUAUGCAAGACACAGCAGCAUUGUCUCCUCCUAAGUAUAAAUUCAAAAAUCGGUUUCAGCACAGAUCUUUAUGUCAACAACAUAAAAAUCAAUCACAAGAUGUUGACGCUAGAGAUGAUGGUGCUAAUUAAUUAGGAGGUUUUAAUCUAAGCAAUGUUCGUGCAAAUAACGUUGCACAAAAUCUUGCUGCAAAUAACGCUGCUCCAAAUAACAUUGCUGCUAAAGAUGUUGACGCUAGAAAUGAUGGCGCUGAUGGACCAGACAAUAUUGUUAAUGGAGAAAAUGACGAUGUUAUUCAAGAAGAGAUUGAUGACGAAGAACAGUUAGAGGAUAAUAUAGAAAAUGAAGCAGAUAAUAACCAGAAUCGUGGUAAUGAUGGGAACCAGAAACGUAAAACCAUUAAAAUGAAAGAUUUUAUAUUAAAUUGUGUAAACUAUUACAAAGCAAAAGAAGGCCAUGGUUUUGAUGAAAGACAAAAAAGAUAUACAAUAGAAAAUGAUGAGAUAUAUCUUGGAGAAAACAAAAGUGUACAAGUAUUGGAAUGGGAGAUGAGCCUUGAGUGACCACCCAUAUUCCUUGUUCAAAGUGCACUACAUUUAUGGGACAUUAAAGAGUUUGCUAACAGAGCCUUUGAAAUUCACGAUGACAUGAAGAAUAUUCCAGGAAGAUUACCAAUAAAACUUAUCGAAAGAAAUCUUCUGCGAUUAUUAAUAAGUUUAUACCAUGAUUAUUUGAAACGUAAUAGGUGUUUAGAUCAUGAGUCAAAAGCAUCGUACUUGUUAAAAGCAACAUACACAUUAAGAAAUAAAAUGAGAAUAUUGAGGUCACAGGAGAAGAAGGCUAGAACACCACGUAAUGCACAAAAUGCAAGACGGAGGCUCAGUUAUAACAGCAUUGAAUAACUUUACUUUUUCUUGGUGUAUAACAAAUUAUCACGUUAUUUUUGUAAGACUUCAAAUAAUUUUAAAAGUAUUGAAGAUCAGUGAUACAUUUGUUUUAGAUCAUCAGAAGAAUUUAUGUCGUUAUUGGUUACAUAACCUAGAUACCUAAAAGAUAAGCUUAGUAAAUUUAGUACAUUUGUAAUUGAACAUGUUUAUAGUGAUUGUUACUGAUCAUUUUAUUUCAUCCUACUCUGGAUGUAAUAAUACCUUGACUAACAUAUUUUUAAUAAUGUAACAAAUGUAAUUUGUUGAAAAAAAUAUGUAUUUGGUACGUCUUAAAGUCGUAUUUUGUAUGCUAAAUUUGCAAUUGGUAUUGCAAAUGUAUUUUAUAGAAAUGCUGUGCGGAUAAUAAUAGAUUAUAUGGCUAUGUAUAUGUUAUUAAGGAUUCAAUUAAAAUUAACAUAAGUUUUAAAAGUAAAAUAACAAUUAACAUACACAUAUAAUCUAUUUUUGAUGUUGUUGUAUACCUGGUAUUUCCUUUAAUGG